UGACUCGGACUCAUGCGAUUACAACGCCCAAACCUUGUCAGGACCGGAAGGUAGCAGCAAUACGGGAUGCUUGUAAUAGGCGUGAACUCCGGGUCUUUUU
rnacentral:SRP_RNA from 1 species